CGGGGCUGGGCUGGGCUGGGCUGGGCUGGGCGCUCGG
rnacentral:miRNA from 1 species